AGGCGCCCAUAUAUUUACAUCCCUUUCCUGUCUCUCUCUCACACAAAGAACCUCACCUCUUCUCAUUUCACCGAAGUCCCUCACCACCGUUGCUGACGUUUGUCGCGCAUCGCCACUACAGCAAAUCACCACCGCCGCCGCCCCAAUACGAACAGGGGACCAAGCAAAUGAAUGAGAGGACUCACAUGCUACUACUACCCCUAUGCCCUAUGGUGAUAAGGUUCCCCAACAAAGACAGCUUGCUUGGGCCAGAAAUUGAGCCAGCUGAUGCCAUGAGCAGGGCAAGUGGCUUGGAUAACUACGGCAUUGUUGGUCUUCAAAGACAAAUAAUGGAAGGCAAGUUGUUGUAACUUCUUUAGAAUCAUUUUUUAAAAAUAUUUUGUUUGGCUUCUAUAUCAUGGAUUCUUAUGCCUUGGAAGCAGAACAAGAUGACGGCUUUGAGAAAUUGCAGGAGACGGUGAUAAGCACGAAACAUAUUGUUUUCUUUCUUUAAUUCUUGAAAGUAAAUAUUUACAUCAAUUUUCCAAAGAAGCAUAUUCGCAUCUCACCUUAAUAAGAGAAACAGGUGUGAAAGGGUUGUUUGAGAUGGCAUAGCAUAAGUCAGUUGAAGCCCUGUUUUUUCUUAUUCAAGAGUGCUCUGUUUUUGCCUUUUGUUUUUUUGUUUUGGUUUUUUUUUUGUUUUUUUUUCUUGGUUUAAGUGGAGUUAGGGUGUUCGAUGAUUGGUGUUCUGAAGAUAUUCUACUUUGGAAAUUAUUUGGUGCAUCCAGGUGGAAGGAAUUGGAUGUACGCCGUCUGACAGAAAUCCCAAGUCAUGUACUCAUUUUUUUUUCCUCUCUAUUUUUUCUUUUUUGCUUAAUAUUUUUCUGCUCCAGUACUGUUCAAUCUCCUUUAGUUACGAAACCAAAAACCAAUCUUUUAAAUUUCAUUGACUCAUGAACCAUAAUCUUACAUCCCUUUUGAUCUGUCAAACCAUCACUUCCUAGUUGCAGGCUUUAAAAUUAUAGUGGGGUUCUGCAUCAUUUGGCUUUUUAUUUCCAGUGUGAAUGUUGACUUGUGCUGCACUUGAAUGCUCGUCACGGAUUUCAUCUUUAUGCUUUCACUAGCCUCGCGAUUGCACAGCUCUUCUUCAUUCUCUUGAAACUUCUAUGUAAAAAUUGGGUAUUGAAUGCCAUCUUCUCAUAUUUAUUUGAGCAGUGCAAUAUGACAAUUUUAUCAUCUAUGAUAUUGCUGUAGCCUGUUCUAGGCUUUACGCUUUGCCAAAUUUUCCUUCCAGCAUGCUGCUAGGUAUCUUGCUAACCAGGAGUGGGUUAAAAGUGAUUCUCUCAAGAUUGUAGAAAAUACUGCAGUUCCCAUCAUCAUGCUUCUUGUUGAAGUUCCUCAUGAUCUGAUUACCCCUGCUGUUUCCACCAUAUCUACACUGAAAGAAGAACCGACUGAGGUGAUUAGUGGAGACAAUCCUUUUCAGACCAAUAUGGCUAAUUUGGAAAGCUCUGCUUCACCAAAGUGUUCAAAUAUGAAUACUGAUGAUGGCAAGGAUAUGAAAUCAAUUCUCUUGACAUCAGUUUCUUGUCGCCAUCACACACAGGACUCCAAACUACUGAACUGGUUAAAGAGUUGACUGAACGAUUCCCCGCUGCUACACCCCUUGCUUUGGUACUAAAACAGUUCUUGGCAGAUCGUAGCCUGGACCAAUCUUAUUCAGGUGGCUUAAGUUCAUAUUGUCUGGUGUUACUCAUCACACGUUUUCUUCAGCAUGAGCAUCACCAUGGACGGCCUGAUAAGCACGAAUAUGAUUCUUAUGGAUUCUUAUUUUUUUUGAUAUAUACGGUUAAUAGUUAAGUAUUGUAUAUGAUUGAAAAUUGAAUACUAUAGGUUGUAGAGAAAUAAUUUUAUUGAAUGGUUGAGAAUUGAAUGAAUGAAUGAUUGAAUAA